UUUAAUGAAGCAGUUGCUGGCAGUCAUGCGCUGUCAGAGGAAAGUCCAUGCUCGCACAAUCUGAGAUGAUUGUAGUGUUUGUGCCAGUCCAAUCAAUAAGGCUGGGGUACCUUCGGGUAUACGGCUGUCCGAAAGCCUAAAGAGAAAUCCAUGGCUGACGGCUUUAAAAGUGCCACAGAGACGAAGCUUCAUUGGAAACAAUGAAGGUGGAACGGGUAAACCCCUCAAGCGAGAAACCCAAAUUUGGUAGGGGAACUGAAUGAAGCAAAAUGAAGCGGAUUUCGGAUGGAUUCAGCUGAAUCCAUAGAUAAAUAACUGCUGCCUGCACUAGCAGGAACAAAACAUGGCUUAUGAUU
rnacentral:RNase_P_RNA from 4 species